CUGACAAUGUAGCAUCCCCCCUCCUACUA
rnacentral:sRNA from 1 species